UACGUAGGUGGCAAGCGUUGUCCGGAUUUAUUGGGUUUAAAGGGUGCGUAGGCGGUUCUAUAAGUCAGUGGUGAAAUCCGGCAGCUCAACUGUCGAUGUGCCAUUGAUACUGCAGAACUUGAGUACAGACGAGGUAGGCGGAAUUGACGGUGUAGCGGUGAAAUGCUUAGAUAUCGUCAAGAACACCGAUAGCGAAGGCAGCUUACUAGACUGUAACUGACGCUGAUGCACGAAAGUGUGGGGGAUCAAAACAGG
rnacentral:rRNA from 1 species